rnacentral:rRNA from 1 species
GACGAACGCUGGCGGCGUGCUUAACACAUGCAAGUCGAACGGUAAGGCCCUUCGGGGUACACGAGUGGCGAACGGGUGAGUAACACGUGGGUGAUCUGCCCUGCACUUCGGGAUAAGCCUGGGAAACUGGGUCUAAUACCGGAUAGGACCACUGCCUGCAUGGGUGGUGGUGGAAAGCUUUUGCGGUGUGGGAUGGGCCCGCGGCCUAUCAGCUUGUUGGUGGGGUGAUGGCCUACCAAGGCGACGACGGGUAGCCGGCCUGAGAGGGUGACCGGGCACACUGGGACUGAGAUACGGCCCAGACUCCUACGGGAGGCAGCAGUGGGGAAUAUUGCACAAUGGGCGCAAGCCUGAUGCAGCGACGCCGCGUGAGGGAUGACGGCCUUCGGGUUGUAAACCUCUUUCAGCACCGACGAAGCGCAAGUGACGGUAGGUGCAGAAGAAGGACUGGCCAACUACGUGCCAGCAGCCGCCGUAACAC